rnacentral:rRNA from 1 species
UACGGAGGGUGCGAGCGUUUGUCCGGAAUCAUUGGGCGUAAGGGCGGCGUAGGUGGCGUUCUUAAGCGUGCGGUGAAAGCCUGGGGCUCAACCCCGGGUCGGCCGUGCGAACUGGGGGGCUGGAGCACUGUAGAGGCAGGCGGAAUUCCGGGUGUAGCGGUGGAAUGCGUAGAGAUCCGGAAGAACACCGGUGGCGAAGGCGGCCUGCUGGGCAGUUGCUGACACUGAGGCGCGACAGCGUGGGGAGCAAACAGG